UUCUGAUUCCUGCCCCAAAUCGACUAAUUUGUUGCUAAGGUAGCAGCAACCAUUUCUGAUGAAGGGCAUUGUUUAUUUCAUGAUGUGUUUGAACUAGGGUGUCCUUUCGCGCACUUUCCGCCCAAUAGUGUCCCAAAUAUGCUCGAUAUGAUUCAAAUCCGGGCUACGAUCGGGCCAAGGAAGAUGAACCGAAUUCCAUUUGAACAUUGGAUCUUCCUCCACGAUGCUAAUUUCCAACUUUGGCACUAUAUUGGAUACGGAAAACUGUGUGUCUGUUCGUUAGCAAGGGUCUCCGAAAUGGUCUUAUAGCACGAUAACCAGUAGCGAUGAGUCGAUCUCGAACAGUUCUUGUUAAAAGGCUCCUGUAUGGCCACCACUCUCUUUUUAGGAUUGUCUUGUAUGCAAUGGGUUUCCUUCUGACCAACCUUCAUUAUGCUUGAUUUUCCCUAGUAAAUGGUAUAGGGGGUCUUCAUUAUCUCGGAAGGUCUUUAACAGCGUUUAUUGCCUGAUUUUUAUUCUCAAAACGACUUAUAGUGGAAGGUGAUGACCAACAAUACGUGCAGUUGUUACAGCGACAUCCCUGCUUCUCUUAUGCUGAUAAUCUGCCAUCUUGCUGCAGUUAAGAGUUGUCAAGGACCCAUUACAAGGUGUCAAUCACAUAACUUUAAAAACUUGGUUAUUUAAAGUGUUGAAAACAAUGAGGAUAAAAACAUCUGUUUUGCUG
rnacentral:lncRNA from 1 species